rnacentral:rRNA from 1 species
UACGUAGGGGGCAAGCGUUGUCCGGAUUUAUUGGGCGUAAAGAGCGUGUAGGCGGCUUGGUAGGUCCGCUGUGAAAACUCGAGGCUCAACCUCGAGAUGUCGGCGGAAACCACUUGGCUAGAGUCCGGAAGAGGAGAGUGGAAUUCCUGGUGUAGCGGUGAAAUGCGUAGAGAUCCGGAGGAACACCGAAAGCGAAGGCAGUGUCCUGGCUGGUGACUGACGCUGAGGUGCGAAAGCUAGGGGAGCGAACGGG